AGUGAAAUGGUUUUUUUUUUCCUUCUUCCUGCAUUGCUGGUUUCUGUGCAGGUGUACAGCCAAGCUAUCAGCUUCAGCCUCUUCUUCCUGCUUUCUGAGGGAUAAAAUGCAUAAUGUUUAUGUGCAUUUAUAAUAUCUGAGUAUACUUUAUAAUCAGCAGACACCAGGAUGUGGCUGUGGAUGUGUGUUGCUGUAACAACAGGACUGAGAGCUCUGGAGGUGUGUGCUGUCCCCAGUGUUUUACAAAGGAGGAAAAUUAUUUGGAGCUCCACCCGGCCUUAAUGAAGACGUGUAACCCCAUGAGUUGGCUCCUGCUCCAUGCAUGCAAGAAGAGAGCUGUGCUUUGGAGGGAGGCAAAGCCAACAUCUUUGAAUGCCUGGCAAAUGUCAUUGGGACCAGGUGUGUUUGUCAAGGAGGUUUUUCUGCAGAUUGCUGGCACAAGAGGAACGUUGCUGGGCAGAGCAGAGAAGGGUCUGAUCAGCUGGGGUACACAAAUGUCCCAGAGGGCCACGUUGAGCUACAAACUGACUGACUGACUGAAGGUAGCAGCGAAACUGGGUCCAUCUGCAGCCUGAGCUUCUUGAUGGGGAUCUGGGCAAUGGGUGUGCAGACCCUGAGGAGUCCACCAACCCCAUAGCCAAAUCCAGAGACUCCAGCCAACCCCGUGCCAGAGGAGUCAUGGCCAUAUCUCUGCAUUGCCAUCCAGGCUCAUGCUGCUGACACAUCCCAGCCCUGGGCACCCUCUACCACCAGCUCCAUGGCACAAGAAUCAGUGGUGGAUCUCCUCCUGCUCCUGGGGAUCCCAGAAGAGCAGGAGAUGAAACUCCUCCUGCUUUAGGUGAGGUUGGCAAGCCAUCGUGGCUGCCUUGAAGGGGAACAAAGGUGGAGGGAGAAGUAGGCAAUGCACGUGAGAUGGCCUCGUUGGAAACUGUGGGAUGAGAAGCAGAGAGCUUUCACCCUCUUUUAUCCCAGAAAAAUGGGCUUUUGCUGCACAACCAUCCCCAAAUGAUCAUUUUAAACCACAUUCAUGAGCUUGGGGUAUUUGGUAAUAUCCCACUCGUCUCCUUUGCUGAAGAGAAACUUGAGCUGCUUUUAAGCACACAUCUAUCGUUGCGUUCUGGGCUGUGUUUCUAAUUUGAAUGGGAGGGAAUCCUUGGCCCCAUAACAACUGCAUUUGCAAACCUCCUUUUUUUUUAUAGUGAGCAUGAAAGAGAAAAGUAGAACCAAUCAUUUGAUGUUUGCAGGGCACCAGGCUGUAGAAAGAAGCAUUGCUCUGUUUAAUGUGUGUAAAUAGAAGAAUCCACAUUAAACUUCUUUGCCUCUCUCCCUCUUCCAUACAAAGGCUGUGGGGAGCUAAGAACAAUGGCAC
rnacentral:lncRNA from 7 species